AUUGAACGCUGGCGGCAUGCCUUACACAUGCAAGUCGAACGGCAGCACGGGAGCAAUCCUGGUGGCGAGUGGCGAACGGGUGAGUAAUAUAUCGGAACGUGCCCAGUCGUGGGGGAUAACGUAGCGAAAGCUACGCUAAUACCGCAUACGAUCUAUGGAUGAAAGCGGGGGAUCGCAAGACCUCGCGCGAUUGGAGCGGCCGAUAUCAGAUUAGGUAGUUGGUGAGGUAAAGGCUCACCAAGCCGACGAUCUGUAGCUGGUCUGAGAGGACGACCAGCCACACUGGGACUGAGACACGGCCCAGACUCCUACGGGAGGCAGCAGUGGGAAUUUGGACAAUGGGCGCAAGCCUGAUCCAGCAAUGCCGCGUGCAGGAUGAAGGCCUUCGGGUUGUAAACUGCUUUUGUACGGAACGAAACGGUGAGCUCUAAUACAGUUUGCUAAUGACGGUACCGUAAGAAUAAGCACCGGCUAACUACGUG
rnacentral:rRNA from 1 species